rfam:Sorghum bicolor cultivar BTx623 chromosome 3, whole genome shotgun sequence.
UGUUGAUGUGAUGAUAAACCUUGACAGAAGCUCGAGUGUUGACCAAAAAUUCAGACUACAAUUAUCUGAUCAACC